rnacentral:misc_RNA from 1 species
GAAAUUUACUCUUGGAUAGAAAAUAAGGUUUAAGAUAAAUAAGGCUUCAAUUUGGGACAAAUGCUUUACAUAUUUUGGAAGAACUUCUGGAUACUCCAUUUUUUUCUGAAAAUCCAAAUUAAAUGAAGGUAAAAACUAUGGGUUUUUGAUGUUUAACUUGUCUGGAAGCAAUAUGCUGUUGAAUCUCACUUUGUUUUCAGAACAAGUGGUCUUUCAACCUCUGCAUUUAGCAGUACAAAAAUUUGAAUAAAUAGCAAAUAAUUAAGAAAUUCUGUUGAUUUAAGCUGCAAAGGAAUGAUGAAUGUGAAAGAGAAGUUGAGUAGAUGACAAUGGCCUUCAUCACAAUGAAUUCCCAUCCUAGAGUUUAGAAACUUAAAGCAAAACAUUCUAGGAGAAUGAGAAAGGGACCAAAAUUUGGUAACAAUAAGAACAAAAUUUAACUCUUGCCCCAGUCAUGAAAGAAAAUAAACUAAUUCUCACCUUGAACAUCAAUUCACAACUCUUUUUAAGGGAUAUAAUAGCAUUGCAAGAUGUCAACUUGAAGAUAGGUCUGAUGGAUUCUUCUAAUUGGUUUUCGUAAUUACCAUUCGACUGAAUGUCUGAAUCCAUCUUCCAUCAAUUAAGAUAUUUGGAAUGUCAGCAAUCUUGGGCCAAUCCACAUCCAUGUUGCUGCUGCAUCUUUCUGAUAGCUGAGGACAGUUAACUAUCUCUAAAUAUUCCAAUGCGAUGAGGUUGCCCAUCCAGUCUUGUAAAGAUAUCAAUUAGGAAAACUUUCGAUUAGGAGUUAGAGCAGAGUGGGAACAUAUUGAAGCCCCUUUGGGAGGGACACCAAUUUGAACAUAUCUCAGAAAUGAGGAAGAUAAAUAAUGUUCCUCUUAGAUAGAAAAUUUGAAUCAGGGAUGUAAACAUCUGUAACCCUAAGAUUCCUCUUACUUGAUGAGCCAGGGUACGUGGAAAGUGAAAGUCCAAUCAAAUUUAUAAAGAAUUCAUAUCCAUUAUCAUUUGUCAAGAACACAAGGGCCACAAGAAAUCU